GCGAGCGAACGCGGAUUAGCCCAAACCAAUAAAGUUUUCUUUAUUGGGGUUGCGGACAUAUCAUAACGAAGAGGUAUCGUAAUUGAAGAGGUUUGGAAAGACUCACCACAGAAGGUAAUAGUCCUGUAUGUUAAACGAGAAGACUUUAGAUAUGAUCCAGAGUACCACGGGACACGUGAAACCCUGUGGGAAGCAGGAGGGACCA
rnacentral:rRNA from 1 species